rnacentral:rRNA from 1 species
UACGAAGGGGGGCUAGCGUUGCUCGGAAUCACUGGGCGUAAAGCGCACGUAGGCGGAUUGCUAAGUCAGGGGUGAAAUCCUGGAGCUCAACUCCAGAACUGCCCUUGAUACUGGCGGUCUCGAGUCCGGGAGAGGUGAGUGGAACUGCGAGUGUAGAGGUGAAAUUCGUAGAUAUUAGGAAGAACACCAGUGGCGAAGGCGGCUCACUGGCCCGGUACUGACGCUGAGGCGCGAAAGCGUGGGGAGCAAACAGG